rnacentral:ncRNA from 1 species
CAGAGUAGGUCCAGCGCGUUAAGUGCUAUGGGAUGGGAAGUUGCCCAUAGACGAAGGGAGUUUUCUCCCGCGGUGCUGAGUCCGCGUCCGCUGC